UUGAGAGUUUGAUCCUGGCUCAGAACGAACGCUGGCGGCAGGCCUAACACAUGCAAGUCGAACGCUCUCUUCGGAGGGAGUGGCGCACGGGUGAGUAACGCGUGGGAACCUGCCCUGGGGCCGGGAAUAACCGCUGGAAACGGCGGCUAAUACCCUAUACGCCCUUUGGGGGAAAGAUUUAUCGCCCUGGGAUGGGCCCGCGUCGGAUUAGGUAGUUGGUGUGGUAAGAGCGCACCAAGCCUGCGAUCCGUAGCUGGUCUGAGAGGAUGAUCAGCCACACUGGGACUGAGACACGGCCCAGACUCCUACGGGAGGCAGCAGUGGGGAAUAUUGGACAAUGGGCGCAAGCCUGAUCCAGCCAUGCCGCGUGAGUGAAGAAGGCCUUAGGGUUGUAAAGCACUUUAAUCAGGGAAGAAAAAGCUUUGGCUAAUAUCCAAAGCCUUGACGGUACCUGAAGAAUAAGCACCGGCAAACUCUGUGCCAGCAGCCGCGGUAAUACAGAGGGUGCGAGCGUUAAUCGGAUUUACUGGGCGUAAAGCGUGCGUAGGAGGCUUGUUAAGUCGGUUGUGAAAUCCCCGGGCUCAACCUGGGAACUGCAGUCGAUACUGGCAAGCUAGAGUUCGGUAGAGGGUGGUGGAAUUUCCGGUGUAGCGGUGAAAUGCGUAGAGAUCGGAAGGAACACCAAUGGCGAAGGCAACCACCUGGGCCUGAACUGACUCUGAGGCACGAAAGCGUGGGGAGCAAAC
rnacentral:rRNA from 1 species